rnacentral:rRNA from 1 species
CACGUAGGGCGCAAGCGUUGUCCGGAAUUAUUGGGCGUAAAGAGCUCGUAGGUGGUUUGUCGCGUUGUUCGUGAAAACUCACAGCUUAACUGUGGGCGUGCGGGCGAUACGGGCAGACUGGAGUACUGCAGGGGAGACUGGAAUUCCUGGUGUAGCGGUGAAAUGCGUAGAUAUCAGGAGGAAUACCGGUGGCGAAGGCGGCCUUCUGGACGAUGACUGACGCUGAGACGCGAAAGCGUGGGGAGCAAACAGG